rnacentral:lncRNA from 1 species
AAACCAUCGAAACUAGUCCUGUGAAAAUUUUCCCUCCUGAAUUUUGUCAUGCAGGAAAACUAGUGGCUCCAGCUCUAGCUUUUCAAAAACAGCUUGUCCGUUGAGAAGGCAGUUCGCGAUUCGAAGAAAAGCGAUCUUCAUGCGUCACAAAAUAUUUUUCAGGUUAUGGAAGAAUAGUUGCCAGAGCCCCAAGGAGGUUGGACUUCUACCCCAGCUUUGAGAAACAGCACCCCAGGGACCGGUGGUUCGACUGUCUUCCAACCCUCUCCCCUACCACCGGAUUGUAAUAGUAGGACUACAUAAUGAUAAAAAUUUAAUAGCUCUAUCUCCCAUGGUUGUUUCGUCUGAAAUCUUUGUAAUCAGAGAAAGACGUUACGCUCAU